CGGUGGCUGCAGGUGCUCCUCAUGCUUGACGGAACGGGAGGGGAGUGUCCACAGUGGCCUUCACCUCCGAUCAAGACUGAAGAGAAUGACAAGGAUAAUAAGGAGGUUCGCAUUCCUCAUCUGGAGGAAUUCCACUUGAAAACAUCAACACGACGUGAGGAAUGGAUUCCGUGUGCUCCAGGACCUGUUGGUGCAAGACCUUUCCUGAAUUCUUCGAAACAAAGAAGACCCUUGGGAUUGGGCCAAAGCCCCCAGCCGGUAUCACAUUAUGCUGUCACCAUCUGACCAGUCCUAGGUCUCCAAGCAAAAACAGAAACUUCUAACAGGGAAAAGAUGACAGAGAAAUGGAUCCUUCAGCUGCUGUUGGUCACAGGCUAUUACAGCUGAGCCCGCAGAUGGUCAAGGAGGCUCUGUUGCCUGAAUGAGAGCUUGAGAAUGGAGCCGGAAUCCCUGAG